AAGCCUCCCGGUUCACCUUCGGCUUCUCUAUUCCUCCCCUGCGCCUCGCGAUCUCAGACGCCACGCGACCGAGACCGGCGAUCGCUUCUUCCCUCGGUGUCGCCGGCGAGGAGCGGAUCUUGGAGCAUCGAAGGGAAGAAAGAUCCUUGAUCGGGGGAUUUCGCCGGCUGUUGGGUGGGAAUCAAGGGAAACGACGUUGGAUCUGGGCAUCGGCGACCGGCUGUGUGAGGUAACGCCCAUUGUUUCCUUCCGAUUUUCCCUUGUUUUGUUCGUCGGCAAGAACAAGUCGAGCCCUAACUUCGAUCUCGGAGAGAUUGGUGUCUUGUUUCUGGCCACCACAGCUGGACUAGAUCAACUCCUCCACCGGAUCUGUGAUCGUACUCUAGCCAAGAUCCUGAGAGAAGCAGAGCUUGUGUUGUGAUUCCGGCCACUACAGCUCUGGUGGGGAUUGCUCUUCUUCCUCAGAUCUGUGGUUUGCUCCGGCGAUCAAGAAGAGGUGUUGGAAGCUUCUUUUAUGUGCGGUUCCAGUGGAGCUAAUUACGGUGGAUUGUGUGGAGCAACAUUGGUUAACAGUGG